AGUGAACGCUGGCGGUAGGCCUAACACAUGCAAGUCGAACGGCAGCACAGUAAGGGCUUGCUCUUACGGGUGGCGAGUGGCGGACGGGUGAGGAAUACAUCGGAAUCUACUUUUUCGUGGGGGAUAACGUAGGGAAACUUACGCUAAUACCGCAUACGACCUACGGGUGAAAGCAGUGGAUCUUCGGACCUUGCGCGAUUGAAUGAGCCGAUGUCGGAUUAGCUAGUUGGCGGGGUAAAGGCCCACCAAGGCGACGAUCCGUAGCUGGUCUGAGAGGAUGAUCAGCCACACUGGAACUGAGACACGGUCCAGACUCCUACGGGAGGCAGCAGUGGGGAAUAUUGGACAAUGGGCGCAAGCCUGAUCCAGCCAUACCGCGUGGGUGAAGAAGGCCUUCGGGUUGUAAAGCCCUUUUGUUGGGAAAGAAAAGCAGCAGGUUAAUACCCCGCUGUUCUGACGGUACCCAAAGAAUAAGCACCGGCUAACUUCGUG
rnacentral:rRNA from 1 species